rnacentral:rRNA from 1 species
UCGGGAAUUUUGGGCAAUGGGCGAAAGCCUGACCCAGCAACGCCGCGUGGGGGAUGAAGGUCUUCGGAUUGUAAACCCCUGUCGAAUGGGACGAAAGACUCGCGAGUUAAUACUUCGCGGGAGUGACGGUACCGUUAAAGGAAGCCACGGCUAACUCUGUGCCAGCAGCCGCGGUAAUACAGAGGUGGCAAGCGUUGUUCGGAAUUACUGGGCGUAAAGGGCGCGUAGGCGGCCUACUAAGUCAGACGUGAAAUCCCCCGGCUUAACCUGGGAACUGCGUCUGAUACUGGAAGGCUUGAGUAUGGGAGAGGGAUGUAGAAUUCCAGGUGUAGCGGUGAAAUGCGUAGAUAUCUGGAGGAAUACCGGUGGCGAAGGCGGCAUCCUGGACCAUUACUGACGCUGAGGCGCGAAAGCUAGGGGAGCAAACGGGAUUAGAUACCCCCGUAGUCCCUGAGCGGGCUGGCAAGGCGCAU